rnacentral:rRNA from 1 species
UACGUAGGGGGCAAGCGUUGUCCGGAUUUAUUGGGCGUAAAGAGCGUGUAGGCGGUUUGGUAGGUCCGCUGUGAAAACUCGAGGCUCAACCUCGAGACGCCGGUGGAAACCAUCAGGCUAGAGUCCAGAAGAGGAGAGUGGAAUUCCCGGUGUAGCGGUGAAAUGCGCAGAUAUCGGGAAGAACACCCGUGGCGAAGGCGGUUCUCUGGGACGGUACUGACGCUGAGACGCGAAAGCGUGGGGAGCGAACAGG